rnacentral:rRNA from 1 species
UUCNGAUUGUAAACNUCUUUUAGACAGGGGCAGANGCNAGCAGUGCACUGGUNCCUGCNGUAAAAAGCACCNNCCUAACUACUUGCCAGCAGCCGCGGUAAUACUNUAGGGUGCAAGCGUUAUCCGGAAUUAUUGGGCGUAAAGAGCUCGUAGGCGGUUUGUCGCGUCUGCUGUGAAAUCCCGAGGCUCAACCUCGGGCCUGCAGUGGGUACGGGCAGACUAGAGUGCGGUAGUGGAGAUUGGAAUUCCUGGUGUNGCGGUGGAAUGCNCACAUAUCAGGGAGGAACACCGAUGGCGAAGGCAGAUCUCUGGGCCGUAACUGACGCUGAGGAGCGAAAGGGUGGGGAGCAAACAGGAUUAGUAUACCCUGGUAGUCCAAGGGCGAA